rnacentral:rRNA from 1 species
UUCGCCUACGGGGCGCAGCAGUGGGGAAUAUUGCACAAUGGGGGGAACCCUGAUGCAGCAAUGCCGCGUGAAGGAUGAAGGUUUUAGGAUUGUAAACUUCUUUUGUACGGGACGAAGAAAGUGACGGUACCGUAAGAAUAAGCCACGGCUAACUACGUGCCAGCAGCCGCGGUAAUACGUAGGUGGCAAGCGUUAUCCGGAUUUACUGGGUGUAAAGGGGGCGCAGACGGCGAUGCAAGCCAGGAGUGAAAGCCCGGGGCCCAACCCCGGGACUGCCCUUGGAACUGCGUGGCUAGAGUGCAGGG